CAUCACUUGGUUGGUGGUACGAAGGUGAGUUCCUUCAUCACCUUUCAUCACAUUUCAUCACCUAGUUGGUGGCACGAGGAUAAGUUCCUUCUUCCCCUGGUUGGUGGCAUGAAUGACAAGUUGCCAAAUGAUAUUAGAGUAUAGGUUGUACAUUUUAUCACCUAGUUGGUGGCAUGAGUGGCAAGUUGCCAAAUGAUAUUAGAGUACGAGUUGUACAUUUUAUCACCUGGUUGGUGGCAUGAAUGGCAAGUUGCCAAAUGAUAUUAGAGUACGGGUUAUACAUUUCAUCACCUGGUUGGUGGCAUGAAUGAGAGUA
rnacentral:lncRNA from 1 species